rnacentral:ncRNA from 1 species
AUAAAAACAGAGAAAUGACAUAGUAAAGAAAUGUGAGGCAUAAGAGAUAUGAUGGCUGGUGCGAAUCAUACGCAGACAUUCUUGAAUUCACCAUGGAGUUGGAAGUACAAAAUACUUCCCGGGUUGCCCGUUAUCGCUAUUUAGUGAGGUUAGUCUAUGACUAAUGAACUAGAGGUGGUACCGCGAUAAUUCGCCCUCUUG